ACACGCAUGUCCAUAAGAAGAGAGAAACGCGAACAAGCAGGAAUUCUGACCUCAGUACAAGUCCACCAUUCGAAGAAUCCAAACACAUUUGUCACGAGCCCUUCAAUUUCAACCAACCAGGGCAAACAACCACGCAAACAAAACAGGAAAGAAAAGAUAGAAACAGCACACGACAGCAGGAGUGAAGCGGCGACCAAGAGGGGUCCAAAACCCUCUCAAUCGGCUUCCGCAUCGGAUUACCAGCAGCAUACGCUCUCUCUCCCUUUUGGAGAGGACGGCUGCUCCGCACCCAGAUCACUCACCUCCUGAUCCAAAACUACUCACACCACACCACUAGCUUGCGACUAGGUGAUCAUCAGACCACUUAAGCUGCAACAAAACACAAUCCACCUACGUCCAAUUCCAAAGAGAACGCCAUGUGGGCCUGCUGCCUUCGCUCCAUCCCGGGCAGAUAAAAUGUGGCCCGGCCCCUCCGCCUUUGGUGAAAGAUCGGACAUCAGAGAGAGGCGUCGAAGUUGAGGCGGGAGGAGUAGGUGCCCUUGGGCGCCCAGUUCCUGGGAAUGACGUCGCGGGCCGUGAGCGUCUUGGGGGCGGACAGCGUCGUCAGCCUCACGGAGAACGGGCCGGCUGUGGGGCCCCCAUACAGGCACCACGUGGCGCCCCACACGUGCUUCAUGUCCAGCCACUUCGCCGAGUUCGCCUGCAGCCACGCACCACGUGAACAAAGCAUACACAUCAUAAGCACUUACCAACACUGAUAAAUCUCAUAGAUAGAUACACAUAGGCACAGAGCACAACGACCACUAGCAGAGCCUUUUUUUAGAAACACCACUAGCAAAGCCUGAAGCUAGCUUUGAAACGUUAGAGUUUUUAGAAAGAAAUCAAUACCGCCCUUCUACAUUCUAAAAUUAAUUUAAGAUGAAGCCAAACUUUGGGUCACGGCAGGAGCUACGCACCUGAGCAUUAUCAUGCCGCGAGAGUAGUUAUUGUUUUCAUUUUGUUGAUGGACGGGCUAUGUUGUGGAACCACUAUUAUGUACUCUAAAACUCUCCUCCUUUAUUAAUGAAUGAGGCAAGUCUUUUGGCUCCGUUUUAAAAAAAACAUCAUCGCAAACACUGGGCCUGGGCUCCAGAAUAUUGGAUGCCACAAGUCCACGAGGCCGCCGCGCAAAGCCGACGCACGGUCAAGGGCGUGCCGCGGAGCGCAGGAUGGGGUGUCAAGCUAAAACAACCACGAGAUCAGAUGAAAGCUUUAGCGGGUGCAAGCAAGAGCCAGUGGCAGAGCCGCAUGCCCGGCCUCUUUGGUCUUUACUCCUACUUGACAGUGUGCGAGACAAAGGUAAAGCGGCAGCAUCAUUGGACAAGCGCAGGGCAGUGAAGUUUCGGGAACAGGGUUCGUGUUUCAUCUUUCGGUGCUGCCGCCUACAUUGACCCUGUUUGGAUACUCUAAGACUAGCCAUAGUGAGAGUAACUUCAGCAGUAACAUCAAGUCCAACUCAGCAAAUUUGCUUAUGUGGCAGUGAGUUAAUGAGGAGAGAGAUAGUUACAGUAACUUAGCUAGUUACUGUAACAUCACAUGUCCCAAUGCAAUAUGAGUCUAUAACCUAAUAAAUGGAGCUUUGCAUGUUACCACACUUAUGUUACUACCCAAUAUGAAGGUAGUAACAUAGUUUAGGGAUAUGUGUAUGUUACUCACCAUUGUGGCUAGUCUAACUCAGUUAGAGGUUAGAGUUAGAUUCUAACCCUGAACUAACUCUAAACUAACUCUAAUCAAAGAGUUGUUUGGAUGGUAGGGUUAGAUUGAAAAUAAAUACUCUUUCUCAAUCAUUUGACUACUCUAGAUCCUAUUUCCUAUCGGAUUUGGUGUGACCGGCUCUUGUGUGGCCUUCUCCCGCUCACAAUUGACAUAAACACAUUCGUAGUAUUUUGAGUGAAGCUACACAUGGCCAGCAUCUCUGUUUUUGUUUCAUCCAAAACUCUGCAGCACUAGAAACAAAUUAAUUUGCAACCAUGGUUGCAUCCACUUUCUUUUUCAUAACAAAAUCAUUUAGAAGGCAGGAAAGAUAUUCACACAAACAUUUGGUAUAUUUGUCAGAGUUGUUUGCGGCACCAACCAAGUGCUAAUAUAUUUCGCAAGCAGACAAUUGUCUGGGAAGAAACACAUAAGCUAAAAGCGUCUCAAAGCGGCCAAACCACAAACCAAAUAACAAUUUGCAGCUAACACGAACAAUCCAUGUGAACACGUAACUAAAAUAAUCGGAUUAAUCAUACUCUAGGUGUCACAACGAGAGCAUAAUCAUGCUAGGAAAAGUGAGGAGCAGAAGGGAAAGAAAAAGCAAGGCAAAUAAUAUCCCACGAUCAUGGGUACUACAACCUAGUACUACCACCACUGUUCGUCUCCUAGUAUGUGAGGGUGAACGGCUGCCGGAGGAGGGUGAGCGGCUACCGGAGGAGGGCGAGCGGUGGCCGGUGAGGAGGGAGCGGCGCGAGCGGCGACCGGAGGAGGGCGAGCGGUGGCCGGUGAUGAGGGAGCAGCGCGAGCAGCGGCCGGAGGAGGGCGAGCGGGGCCGCAGGAGGGCGCUCCCGGGGUUCAGGCGGCGCGGCGCGGCGCUUGCGCGAGCGGCGCGAUGGGGAGGAGUCGUGCGAGGUGGGUGGGGAGAAGGGAUCUGGUGCGGGAGGGCGAGUUUUUUACUAUUUUUUCAGUGAGCCUAUAAAAACUAACCCAAAUAAGCUCCUCUAGUGUGGGCUAGUUUUUUGGGUGGGUUAGAUCCAACUAAACCAAACUAACCCAUCUUGUUUGGAUCCUUUUGGGUUAUUUGAGACCCAACUAACUAAAACUAACUUUAAUUUGAGGAUCCAAACAGGGCCAUUGGAUACUUUACAUUUGUCCAAUAAAAGCAUCGGAUACUUUGUAUGCUCCAAAUGGGAAUCAUAUGGCGAAAUGCAAUCAUAUAGGGUAUCUUCACUCAAGUGUUUGACUAUACAGUGUGACAUUGUGCGGCAGACAAUGCAAGAAAGUAGCGGCAUGCUUUCUUGGCUGAUUUCCAUUGUCGAUCAGUAAUACAGUAUUUGCGAAGCUUAGCUAUCUGCUACGUUUGGUUUCACUUGCUGUAAUACUGCUCUAUUACUAGUCUGUGUGAAAAGUUUCAUUCUAGAACCUCAGGUUGUUGUACAAAGGACACGAAAUGGGCCUAAAUGCCUAGCCAACGACAGUGCAAAUGCUAGCUAGCCAGCAGAGGCAGGAGGGCAAAAGCAGGCAACAGUGGAGUAUGUCUCCGACCACAUCAAAGUGGGAGGACGAACUCACAUGCACGCAUUUUCGCGAAGGAAAGGAAAGAAUAUGCGCCGGGUCCUCUUGCACAUUUGCACCCACGUAAAGCAGGGGCGCACCCUGCUGCCUUGUGUGGCCCUUCGAUUUCGGACUUUUUUACUGUUUUGACCCAUUAAUAAAAGUUUAGCACGAUUUGACUUUUUUUGAUACUUUUUUUGAAUCUGACCCAUUUUGAGACGUCAGCAACUGUGGCGUUUUGGUUACACCGGAGACUCCGCAGUCUCUGGCGUCUAGCACCCUGGCCCACCUCAUGCUACCAUGCAACGUAACAGAGGGUAGACGCCACAAACGUCGGCGUUUUGCUAGCAUGCAUGCAUGCAUGAACGUAUACAUAUAAGAAGAAGCAAUGAAGUCGCCGUGCAGUGUUGCUUAAGCCUUUCUGUAGGUCCCAGCAGUGCCUAGUGCUAGUGCAAUCCAUGCGUAUGACGUGCGUGAUUUUCUGCCGGAGUCAACCAUGUCUAGCACCAUUGUGUACAUAUACAUGCAUAUGUACAUCUUGGUCCGACGGAAAUCUUUUGGUAAGGCUCCAAACCAAUGUGUUAAAGCAUCUAAAGUCGGAUCUAUCCUGUUCGCCCCUAAACGCACAACUAGGGCUAAAACGUAUCAGCCGGUGUCAGGCCCUCGAGGUGCAUGACCUCGGCCUCACCGAACGGCUGGUUGCACAACUCCGGGUUGGCGACGGAACCACUGCAAUGGCGCCUCAGCCCCACAUCAUCGGGCUUCGAGUUAAAGGUCAGCGCCAGAAUGUGUCAUGACCUGGAGGCGGAGGUGUGAUGUGCUUGUUGUGCACUGCAGAAGGCACAACAGCCAUCGCGGUCGAGGCUGAGGGUCACGGAGGCGGAGGCGCACGCCGACUUGGAUAGCAACGAAGAAGCCCCCCAUGCCCUCAUCCUCAAGAAGCGGCAGAGGAGAACUGCCCCCCCCCCCUCUCCCCCCCUCCCCCCCAAAGAAGAGGAGGAGGCGGGCGAUGGAUCGGGCAGCUUCGACAGUGAGCAUAUCCGGCUCGAUGUGUAUUAUGUCUUUGACCGCUACUUUCGCAACAAAGAUGACAAGGGAAAGGGCGGGCAUGGGUGAACUUCUUUCAUGCUCUAGUGUUUGCUUCNNNNNNNNNNNNNNNNNNNNNNNNNNNNNNNNNNNNNNNNNNNNNNNNNNNNNNNNNNNNNNNNNNNNNNNNNNNNNNNNNNNNNNNNNNNNNNNNNNNNNNNNNNNNNNNNNNNNNNNNNNNNNNNNNNNNNNNNNNNNNNNNNNNNNNNNNNNNNNNNNNNNNNNNNNNNNNNNNNNNNNNNNNNNNNNNNNNNNNNNNNNNNNNNNNNNNNNNNNNNNNNNNNNNNNNNNNNNNNNNNNNNNNNNNNNNNNNNNNNNNNNNNNNNNNNNNNNNNNNNNNNNNNNNNNNNNNNNNNNNNNNNNNNNNNNNNNNNNNNNNNNNNNNNNNNNNNNNNNNNNNNNNNNNNNNNNNNNNNNNNNNNNNNNNNNNNNNNNNNNNNNNNNNNNNNNNNNNNNNNNNNAAUGUGUCAUGACCUGGAGGCGGAGGUGUGAUGUGCUUGUUGUGCACUGCAGAAGGCACAACAGCCAUCGCGGUCGAGGCUGAGGGUCACGGAGGCGGAGGCGCACGCCGACUUGGAUAGCAACGAAGAAGCCCCCCAUGCCCUCAUCCUCAAGAAGCGGCAGAGGAGAACUGCCCCCCCCCCCUCCCCCCCCCUCCCCCCCAAAGAAGAGGAGGAGGCGGGCGAUGGAUCGGGCAGCUUCGACAGUGAGCAUAUCCGGCUCGAUGUGUAUUAUGUCUUUGACCGCUACUUUCGCAACAAAGAUGACAAGGGAAAGGGCGGGCAUGGGUGAACUUCUUUCAUGCUCUAGUGUUUGCUUCAUGAGAGUGAAUUGAAUAGAUUCAAUUCACAUUAUAAGAGUAAAAAUUCCACAGGUCCUUUCCGCUCUAUCAGAUGAUGGGGGGUAAGGACCCGCUAAGCUCCUACUUUUUCAUGUUUACAAUCUGGUCGUUGCUGACCCAUACCACAUAGUUCCAGGCUUCUAGCAACUAUGAAAGCUGCAAAAAAUACUUCUAGAAAGUACAAUUUCAAUAUUGCCCAUACGUAAUCCUUUAUAUAGACAUUGAGGCGGACGGACACUAAGAUGGAAUAAUCCAGCUAAUAUACCCAAUGUACCCUAGCAAUAUGAUGUCAAGCUAUUCCCCCCGAAACAAAAGGAUCACACUGGAUUUACAACUUGUACUUUUCUAGUUAGUCCAUAAGGAUCGGAUACUCAUAUCUCAGGACCAUAGAAACUAGUUACAGUCACUCACUCCCCGACCCCCGACCUCUCUCCCCCGAGGCGGCGGCGUUGCGCCGCCCCCAGGGAGUCCCCGUCCACACCGCCCUCAGCCCUCCCCCUCCAUCGCCUCCCACUACUGUCGCCGUCGCUGAUGACGCCGCGGGGCGAAGCCCUGUGGUGAGGUGGUGCCUUCUCUCGCGUCGACGACGGCGGGCCUCUACGGCAUGGAGCAGCGGGGUCUCGCCGGUGGGCAUGUGAUGAUGGACGGUCGCAGGAUGGCGGCGUUGUCUGGCGUCGUGGGCAGCUAGACCGGGCAAGGUACAUGCAGCAAUACCUCACUCAAGAUGGAUUGGUGGCAGGUGGCUGCGACGGCCUUAUACCCGGCAGGCGUCCUGGUUGAGGAGUGCGCCCGACUGGUGGGUGCCCCAUACCCGGCAGGCAUCCUGGUUGGGACCUCAGGUCUUAGAUGUUAGGUUUGGCUGCGGGGUCUGUUUGGUAUUAGGCCCAGACUAUCAGCAUCCCUACAUUACCUGGAUAGGAGUAGCGACAGAUGUUGCCUAGACGGUGGCUUUAGUCUUACUGUUGUAUGACUUUGUAAGAUCUUGUGUGAAUAAUUAAUAAAGUGGCGGCAUGCAUAGUCCAGAUGCAGAGGCCGGGGUCCUCCUCCAUUUCUAAAAAAAAUACAAACUAGUUACUUCAUGCCCCAAAGUCAAACCAUGAAAAGCAAGAUUCCGAAUAAGAAAACAUUAACAUGUCAAUUGUUGAUAGUUCGAUGGCAUGUAUGCUGAACUAACCGUAUAUUAUGGUCAACAUCAUAGUCAACAUCGAGAUGUAGUACGUAGUUCAAGUUUAUUUUGCAUGACAUUGUAUGGAUUUAAGGAUUUGUAAAUGAGGUACCUGGUUGUGAAUCUAGACAUUUGAGGUAUGACCGGUCACUGUGCGCAUACGCGCUCGGACACGUCUGUGAGCGUUUAGGGACUGAAUUACUACCUUCGUCCUGGUUUAUUGGUCCUUGCGUAUGUUGUGCUAAAUUUUAACCAUGUAUUUAACUAACAAAAUGUCACAAAAAUUUAUACCGUUGGAUACGUAUUUAAACAUAGCUUUCAAUGAUAUUAUUUUUUGUCACAUGCAACAACACUUUAUUGGUUAAAUCUAAGAUCAAAGUUUGGCAUAAAAUAUAAAAAGGACCAAUAAAUCGGAGGUAGGUCUGACUGUUGAUGCUUUUACACAUAGGUUUGAAGUCUCUCCAGAAGGUUUUUGUCGGAUCAAGAUGUAGAUACACAUGUAUAUAUAUGCAUACGAGUACAUACACAACAUGAUGCUAGACAUUGGUUGGCUCGGAUAGGAAAGCACGGCCAUCAAACACAUCGAUUGCACUAGCAUUAGACAUGCCUUUUGUUGUGGGGUAGCACUAGGCAUUGCCGUGGCCUCCAGAAAGGCUCAGGGACACUGCAUGGCGACUUCCUUGCUUUGAUCUUCUCGUUCGUAUGUGUGUGUACAAGCAUAAGCAUGCAUGCUAUUUAAACUUUCGGAGCUAAACGCCAAGGUUUGUGGCGUCUACCUAUUGCUUUCUUGCAAGGUGGGCCAGGGCCAGACGCCCGAGCCCGCGGCGUCUUCAGUGUAAUCAAAACGCCACGGUUGCUGACGUUUUGAAAUGGGUUAGAUCCGAAAAAAGUCUCAAAACAGGGUCAAAUCGUGCUAAACUUUCGUUAAUGGGUCAAAACAGUAGAAAAGUCCUCGAUCUCUGUCUAACCUAAUUCCAGUCCUAUAAGUUCCGUCUUUCAAAGAAAAAUCAGAGAGAAAGUUUCUGUAGGGAAUCGUUGCAUGGAAAACAAAAGAAUUCCUACAAAUUCACCCAAGAUCAAUAUAGGAGAUGCUAUCAAUGAGAGGGAGAGUUUCUACAUACCCUUGUAGACUGAAAGCAGAAACGUUCAACUAACGUGGUUGUUGUUGUCGUACUCUUCACGAUCCAAUUUGAUCUAGUGUCGCACGAACGGCACCUUCGAGUUAUGCACACGUACGGCUCGGUGACGUCUCCUACUUAUUGAUCCAACAAACGAGGGGGGGGGGGUAGAUGGGAUCUAGCCCAGCAUGACGGCGUGGUGACGAUGGUUAUGGUGGAACUCCAACAAGGCUUCGCCAAGAGCAAACGAAGUGGAGGGAGAAGUAGCGGGAGGGAGAGACGGCUAGGGAUGGAUGGGCCGCUACCCCCUGCGCCUCCCCUCUAUAUGUAGGCGUGAGAGUGCCGGGAGGCUUGCUCCCCAAGCCUCUAGGGUCGUUGGCCAAGAGGGGGGGGGAGGAAAUCCCCUCCUUUCCUUCCCCACCAAUCACGAUCCUCCCUUUUUAGGGAUCUUGGUCUUAUCCUUUGGGAUAUGAUCAUAUUCUUUUUAGGAGGGAUCUUGGGGCACCUAGACCAGGGGUGUGUAGCCUUGCCUCACUACCCACGUCCAUGUGGGCCCCCCCAUGCAAUUGCGCCCCACUCUGAAACCUUCUAGAACCUUUCCGAUACAAUACCGAAAAGUCCUAAUAUUUUCCGGAACCCUGAAAACCACUUUCCAUAUAUGAAACUUUACCCCUGAACUAUUCCUAAGCUCCUUGUGAUGUCCUAGGUCCCAUCCGAGACUCUAAACUACCUUCAGUCUCACCAUUAUGAAUAUCCCGAUACUACCCUAACAUUACCGAACAUUAAGUGUGUUACCCAACGUGUCCGAGAACAUGCAGACAUGACCGAGACACCUCUCCGAUCAAUAAUCAAUAGCGGGAUCUGGAUGCCUAUAAUGACUCCCACAUAUUGAACAAAGAUCUUUAUCAGUUUGAACCACAAUGUCAAGGAUUCAGAUAAUCCCGUAUAAAAUUCCCUUUGUCUCACGAUAUUUUCCUUUCCUGAGAUUCGAUCGCCGGUAUCGCCAUACCUAGUUCAAUCUCGUUACCGUCAAGUCUCUUUACUCAUUCUGUAAUACAAUAUCCCUAUGACUAAACAUAUUAGUCACAUGCUUGCAAGCUACUUAGGAUGUCGUAUUGCCAAGAGGACCCAGAGAUAUCUCUCCGUCACAUGGACAAAUCCCUGUCUUGAUCCAUGCAACCCAACAAAUACUUUCCGAGAUACCUGAAGAGCACCUUUAUGAUCACCCAGUUAUGAAGUGACGUUUGAUGCCCAAAAGUAUUCUUCCGGUAUUAGGGAGUGGCAUGAUCUCAUGGUCUAAGGAACAGAUACUUGACAUUGCAAAAGUUGAAGCAAUUAAAUUAAGUGGGAUGAUCAGAUGCUAAGCUUAUGAUCACUACAUUAUUAAGGGCCUAAAAGAGGCAUUGUGGGAUUAGUUCAUCUAUAAUGGGUGGUUGGAGUGACAGAAAUUAUCAAACCCUAAGAUUAUGAACUAUUGCAUAAGGAGUUGUUGGAUCCCUAAAGCUUAAUGUUAUGGUUAGAUGCUAUCAUAAUUACUCUUCUUGUAUUUACGGAUGCUUGCAUAGAGGGUAUACGCAUAAGUAUGUAUGUUGUUCACAUUAAUAUAGGUUCCACCACACAAUAGUUCUUAAGGCAAAGAGAGUUAAAUCAAUGGAACUAGAUGAAAACAACUUAGUGAAAUCCCCGCGCAUCCUCGAGAGCGAUUUGUUCCUUAUAAUUAAUACAACCCACUUUUCCUUAGCACAGGUAAGAAUUGGGACAUUUGCUGCACCAUUACACUUUUGUUACAAAUUACAUUCUUGCAAUUAUUCUAGUGAUUAAAGUAGUCAUCAGACAAUCUUUGCAACUUUAAUAAUAAUUCCUUACUUGUUUUCAUAAACCAAAUCUUUCCGCUUCUCAUUGGGUUCGACACUCUUACUUAUCGAAGAGGUCUACAAUAAAUCCCCACACUGGUGGGUAAUCAACGGCAUGUGGAUUCGGUGUGACGGGCUCCCGACCUAGCGCGGUACGUGAGUUGGUGACUGGCGGCGGCGCGGUAGCCACCCAACUGGUUGUGGCCGGUCCUAGCGGCAAAGUUGUGGGCCGGCGCAGCGGCAGCGGCCAUGGCCACCAGCGUCUCCCACGUCUCCGACAACGGAGGGCGACUCUCCUCCACGCAGUAGGUGCCAAGUCGACGGCUUCCUCGCUCGCCUCCAGAUGACACUGCUCUGGCGGUUUGCUAGGUUACACACUAGGCCUGGAGAAAUCCAUUCAAAGCGGCAAUUGUUAUAGACGACGAUGAUGCUUGUGGGUGUCGUAUCCUCCUUGGAGGCAUCAUUUGCCCAUGUUCAUGCCCUGCUCGGGUACCGGUCAAAACCUUAGGUCGGGUCUCUGGCCAAGCAACAACGCCCCCCAGGGUUGUCCUUUCCUUGAAGGUUGCAUGGGUGCUCAACGAGCCUAUGAAAGUUGAUAUUGGAGGUGGUGGCGUCUUCAACUCUUCGGCGGGGUUUUGGGCAAAUUGUCUCGGUGAUGGUUACCAUUGUGGGCAUGGCCUCUCCGGGCGCAACGUACACCAUCAUCAGAACCUCUUGGGUGGCAUCUUCUUUGAGUCCGGUUGGUUCCUGCUGUUCACUUGCUGAUUCCUUUAGUAAAGUUAAAAUUAUUUAGCUCAUUCAAUCAUUUUAAUAUUAUUUAGCUUAUUCUCUCAAUUUCAAUCGACCGUUGCUGCACUACGGGCGGAGGGUGCGUUGACCCAGCUUGAGUUGAAGUCAGGAUAGUGCUGUCUUCGUGUCCGCUGUUGGUUGUCACGCAGUCCUUGAUCUCCGAGUGUUGCCUUCUCGCCAUUUGUGGCUUGAGGUUCAGCUACGCAAGUUGUCUUUUCGCUGUAGUCGUCGGUAUCAGCUGCUUGACGCUUACUUGUGCACCUUUUUGUGGUGCAUACUUGAAAAAAAGAACUGGAGAGGUGAACAUUCACACGGAAGGUGUCUUCUCUGAGUAGUCCAAACAAACACGCAUGUCCAUAAGAAGAGAGAAACGCGAAAAAGCAGGAAUUCUGAUCUCGAUACAAGUCCACCAUUUGAAGAAGUGAAACACAUUUGUCACGAGCCCUUCAAUUCAACUAACCAAGGCAAAACAAACAUGCAAACAAAACAGAAAAUAAAAGAUAAAAACAGCACACGACAGCAGGAGUGAAGCGGCAACCAAGAGGGGUCCAAAACCCUCCCAAUCGGCUUCGGCAUCGGAUUCCCAGCAGCAUACGCUCUCUCUCCUUUUUGGAGAGGAUGGCUGCUUCGCACCCAGAUCACUCACCUCCUGAUCCAAAACUACUCACACCGCGCCACUAGCUUACGACUAGGCGAUCAUCAGACCAGUUUAAGCUGCAACAAAACACAAUCUACGUACGUCCAACUCCAA
rnacentral:lncRNA from 1 species